CAGCCGCCACGGUAAUACGAAGGGUGCAAGCGUUACUCGGAAUUACUGGGCGUAAAGCGUGCGUAGGUGGUGGUUUAAGUCCGUUGUGAAAGCCCUGGGCUCAACCUGGGAAUUGCAGUGGAUACUGGGUCACUAGAGUGUGGUAGAGGAUAGUGGAAUUUCCGGUGUAGCAGUGAAAUGCGUAGAGAUCGGAAGGAACAUCUGUGGCGAAGGCGACACACUGGCUCACUACUGACGCUGAGGCGCGAAAGCGUGGGGAGCAAACAGGAUUAGAGACCCCCGUAGUCCCUGUCUCUUAUAC
rnacentral:rRNA from 1 species